rnacentral:sRNA from 1 species
ACCAUCUUACAAGUCAGCCUUGAUUGGUUAAAAAUAUGUCAUGCAUGAUUGCCACUGCCUUUUUGCUUGAGUUCAAGCUCUAACUCUUUGUGCCUUACCUCCAGCUCCAAGCGCUUAUUCUCAAGCCUCAUUUUUUCAUUCUCUAACCUCAUCUGUUCCAGUUCUCUAUCCUUAUUUUUACUGAAGCGCUCCCAUUUGAGCCGUUGUUUUGCAAGAUAGACUGCCUGGACUUCAAUCUGCAACCUUUGUUCCUCAAGAUCUGCAGAUUGUGUAGCCAAAUCCUUUUGCGCCAAAGCCAAGUUGGUUCCAUCAGGAAAUGCUUUGUUGAUAUCCAGUGAUAUGCCAUGGGAAUCAGACCUCCUGCUACAUCCAUGUGAGCUGGAAGAGUUGCCAAAACCCACAUCCUCCUGAUCUGUCAUAAGCCUCAAUCUUUUAUGCAUGGGCAGGGCACUCUUAUCACCUUGUAAUGUGUAAUUUUCCUCAUCAUUCUCCUCCUCGGAAUCAGAGUCUACACUUUGAUCAUCUUCAUCGGCAUCUCCGCUUGUUCCCCUCCUCAGAUCAUGCUCAUCUUUACAUCUAAGGGCAAGCUGCAGUGAACGCUGAAGGGCAGGAUCUUCAGGCAAACUCACUCGAUUGUUAUUAUGGUAGGAGCACAUCUCCUCGUAGAACAAGUGCUUUGAACUCAGUAUCUUCCUCGCAUCAUCUUUCAUCUUGUCAGACAGAUUACUCAUGCAAUCCAGCAGAGCAUGAUUCUCCACAAUCUUGCAAGCUGUACCCCGGCCAAGGAUAUCUGUAAGUCUUUUGUAUCUCUUAUUGAGAUCAUUGAAUUUAUCUUCACAUUGCUGCGGUGAUACACUGCAGCCUCGCUCACCCAUGACCUUUGAUAUUGCCUUCCACUUGCCCUUUUUCUGCAUUAUUGCAGAGUUUCUCUUCCCAGCUCCUGAAUCAGCUCCUGGAUCCUCCCCAGUGUAAGAUACUGCAGUAAUUAAAAGCUUGACCAUUGAAUCAGUCCACUUCAUCCGCUGCCAUGCAGCGCCCUUCUUUCCCUUGCCGCUCUGGCUAUCAGUGGCAUCCUCGUUGACACCAUGUUCCUCAUCAUCACUCAUGCCGUUCUUGGCGUGUUGACGAUGGUGAUGGUGGUGGUGGUGGUCAACCUUUCCAAGCUCUCCGAAUUGAAAUUCUGACAAGUGAUCAGAAUCUGUAGACUGGUUUACAUGCAUCGAUAAAUUGCCAGGCAUCUGAGUAUGGUCAAAGCCCUGCUUUCCAGGAUUUGGAGCAUGCAUUUGCCCAGAGUUAGAACGCAUCAAGCUUCCAGAGGGUAGGUUGUUGC